AUAUAAGCUUUGAUAGGGAACGGUAUUGUGGUUAUCCUGUUUCAGAGAGCUGUCGUUUGGUGUAAGACAGUACAGAACCAUUUUACAAAUCACCCUUGAGCUUGUCGCUGAACAUUUUAUAAAGAUAAGUAGGAGGACACGGUUUCUCACCGUUAUUUGAGAGUACAUUUGUUGAUGUAUUAAAAGGUGGUAUAGCGAAUUAUUUCGUCCUUUUA
rnacentral:ncRNA from 1 species